AAGUGAGAAUGCCGGUGUGAGUAGCGAAAGACGGGUGAGAAUCCCGUCCACCGAUUGACUAAGGUUUCCAGAGGAAGGCGCGUCCGCUCUGGGUUAGUCGGGUCCUAAGCUGAGGCCGACAGGCGUAGGCGAUGGAUAACAGGUUGAUAUUCCUGUACCACCAUGAUUCGUUUUAAGCGAUGGGGGGACGCAGUAGGAUAGGCGAAG
rnacentral:rRNA from 1 species